rnacentral:lncRNA from 1 species
GCACCUUUCUCCUGUAAGUGGAUGUGGGUGCUACAAGAGAGCAGGCACCACGGUGUCCCACACCAAAAUCAAGUAUAAAAAGCUGAAGUGCGGAGAGUCGUGCCCCAGCAAACCAGCGGAUUCCUGAGAGCUUUUAGUCAGCUCAGACCUUUGAAGGGUUUCUCGGGAGAUCAAAGCUGGAGGAGUUGCGUGCCUGGGUCCCACUACAGACCUAUGAUGACCUCCCUCACAGAACCAGGAAAGAUACAGAACCAGGAAAGAUGGAGAGCCAGAAGAGAGGCUACAGGAGCAGAGAUGUCCCAGCCUCCCUAGCGCCGGCUGGAUCCUGCAUCUCAGGUAGUGUGUAGAUAGAACAGUUGAGGGCUGCCACUCAUCUCAUGAAUCCUUAUUAA